rnacentral:rRNA from 1 species
UGCACGUCGAACGCGUCUUGGUCAUGAAGUUGAGUGCUUGCAUUUAACUGAUUUGACAUUAAGACGAGUGGCGAACUGGUGAGUAACACGUGGGUAACUUGCCCCGAAGCGGGGGAUAACAUUUGGAAACAGGUGCUAAUACCGCAUAACAACAAAAACCACAUGGUUUUUGUUUAAAAGAUGGUUUCGGCUAUCACUUUGGGAUGGACCCGCGGCGUAUUAGCUAGUUGGUGAGGUAAUGGCUCACCAAGGCAAUGAUACGUAGCCGACCUGAGAGGGUAAUCGGCCACAUUGGGACUGAGACACGGCCCAAACUCCUACGGGAGGCAGCAGUAGGGAAUCUUCCACAAUGGACGAAAGUCUGAUGGAGCAACGCCGCGUGAGUGAUGAAGGGUUUCGGCUCGUAAAACUCUGUUGUUGGAGAAGAACGGGUGUCAGAGUAACUGUUGACAUCGUGACGGUAUCCAACCAGAAAGCCACGGCUAACUACGUGCCAGCAGCCGCGGUAAUACGUAGGUGGCAAGCGUUGUCCGGAUUUAUUGGGCGUAAAGCGAGCGCAGGCGGUUUUUUAGGUCUGAUGUGAAAGCCUUCGGCUUAACCGGAGAAGUGCAUCGGAAACCGGGAGACUUGAGUGCAGAAGAGGACAGUGGAACUCCAUGUGUAGCGGUGAAAUGCGUAGAUAUAUGGAAGAACACCAGUGGCGAAGGCGGCUGUCUGGUCUGCAACUGACGCUGAGGCUCGAAAGCAUGGGUAGCGAACAGGAUUAGAUACCCUGGUAGUCCAUGCCGUAAACGAUGAGUGCUAAGUGUUGGAGGGUUUCCGCCCUUCAGUGCUGCAGCUAACGCAUUAAGCACUCCGCCUGGGGAGUACGACCGCAAGGUUGAAACUCAAAGGAAUUGACGGGGGCCCGCACAAGCGGUGGAGCAUGUGGUUUAAUUCGAUGCUACCCCGAAG